rnacentral:rRNA from 1 species
CGUGCAAAGGUAGCAUAAUCACUUGUUCCUUAAUUAGGGACUUGUAUGAACGGUUAAAUGAGGGCAAAACUGUCUCCUACAGUUAAUCAAUGAACCUGAUCUUACAGUACAAACGCUGUAAUUUACUUAUAAGACGAGAAGACCCUGUGGAGCUUUAAACUUCUACAUUAAAUUAAAACUAUAUUAUAAUGUAAAAUUUUAAGUUGGGGCGACUGUGGAGUAAAAAAAAACCUCCAUGAAACUCGACUAAUCCUCGUCAUAAAGGCCAACAAGCCUAACAAAAACGUUUGACCCAAUCAUAUUGAAUACCGAACCAAGUUACCCCAGGGAUAACAGCGCCAUCCCCUUAAAGAGUUCACAUCGCCAAGGGGGUUUACGAC